CUUAUAUCUUCACAUUCUUUCUAUUCUAUUUUAUCUCUCUCAAAGCUCCCUCUCUCUUAAUACUACCUUCUCUAAGAAUUGCUAUGGCUUCUAAGAUGAUCUAAGAUUAUCUGUUACAUUUUUUGUCCCGAUGAUUUGUGAAUUUGUUUUUUACUCAAGGAUGACAAAUAUCAAGAUGUUCUUGGACACUUUCAGAAAGAUUUUGAAGACUGGGGUGUCCGCGAAGAAUUUGGGGGCGGAAUUUGGUGGUUAUGGAUCAAGAUCCUGAUGCUGAUUGUGUUAACCCUGAAGAAUAGGCCUGUUAUACAGAUGCAAACUCAAAUGGACAGAAGAAUGGUGAUAAAGGUAAGAAUAGCCCUCUACCUGAUUCAUCUAUGAAGGAUAAUGGUGGGAAGAAAAGUUUGUUUACCAGAAGUAAGCAAUCAGUUGGUAGUGUUAUUCACCGAGCUGUCAGAAUUGGUGGUUAUCGCCAUCAGGAUCGAAAGGAUAAUAAUCUUGAAGUGAAACAUCAAGAUAUGAGGAAAGAAUCACUGCCUGUGGUUGAAUCCUUGUCUGUGUCUUUGGAUGAUUUGCCACGAAUUUCUGAACCUUUGGUUCUUAUUUCUGAAAGUAUAAGAUGGUGAACUCAUGUGCAGAAGUUAUCAUGCAUAGAAAACUCAUUCAAUUUUCUGAAACUGUUGGCUUCACAUCUUAGAUACUCUUCAUGUUCAUUUUAGGUUCAUAAAAUUUCGAAAAUUGAUGUACAGAGAUAAUUUUUAAUUGUCAAAUGGGGUGUGGACGGACUACAACUGGAAUGGUCAUUGCGACUUUGAUUUAUCUGAAUCGAAUUGGAGCUUCUGGUUACGGGGUCUGUGUCUAGCAAAUGAGAACAGCGUUGUCAUCUGCAUCAGCAUAUAUGUAUGAACAUGUCCAACACAUGACCGGAGAGUAAUUACCUAUUAUGCACACGAGAAAAACCUCUUGAUCUUGGAGGUUCUUUGGGAAGAGAGGCAACCACAUGUCUUGGAGUGAUUAUGUAAAUAGGAAAUACAAAAAAGACUCAAGUCUAUCUCCCUUAUAAAUAUACCUGCAUAAUAUAUGUUGAGUCUCACUCUAGUUCUAUGAUGUUUGCAGAACAUUCAAGGUUUUAUGUGGGAUGAAGAAAAAGUGAACAGCCAGCUGAAGAGGUACAUGAGCAGGGCUUUCUUAGACAUCAAGGCAAUGUGCAAAAUUCAUGAAUGUUAUCUAAGAAUGGGAGCCUUCAUUUUGGCAGUGAACUCUUGUGCAACACUUUUGAGGGAUUUGGAAACUUGAGAAUUGAUUCAAUUAUUUUUGCUCCUUUUGUUUAGUUAUAUCAGAAACACCAUUAUUGCUUACUAAUUCAAAAGUAGAAUUUUUGUAUUAUUUUUUUACCUUUCAACCAGGCCUUUGGUAUUGUAGUGUUAGUCAGUUAAUUGAGAUAGUUAUGCCAGACUUUUUAAUAAAUGUUACCAUUAAAAGAUAAUGGCAUAUUGGUAUCAAUCUUGUGAUUAGUUGAAAACUGAAAAAUACUCAUUUUGUAUUAGAUGAAAACUGGAAAACCCAGGACCAUAAUCAUUAUUUGCGUCAUGAAUUUUAGUUGCUGUUUCAAUUUCGAUGUUGGUUGCAGCAGAUUUAUAACCCCCGCUAAAUUAAAUAUUUUUUAAAAAAAUAAUGUAGCUAUAAAUUGCUUAGGAAUUAAGUUA